rnacentral:tRNA from 7 species
GGAGAGGUGCCAGAGUGGUCGAAUGGGGCGGUCUCGAAAACCGUUGUACCGCAAGGUACCGUGGGUUCGAAUCCCACCCUCUCCGCCA